GGUCCUUUGGGAAGUGUCCAGGGAGACUUUCCUGGGGAAAAUUAUUUGGCACUAAGUUUGUGGGGCUGAAAAUGGGAAGCCGUGUGGUUCUGGGGUUAGUCAGUGGCCCAGAGGAAAGAGGACCUGUUGGAGCCCACGUAUGCACUGUGGAGUCUGGCAGAGCCCAAAGGGAGAGGCAGCCGGGCAGACAGAAGCCCUUGUUCCUGCUCUCCCCCCCAACCCCAGAUGUUGCCAGGGAACUGAGGCCAGGGGGCUGGUGGGGGCGGAUGGAGGCCAGGGCCUAAGUGAUGAUUCAAACCUACUCACCAACGCUAAGGAACGUCUGUAGGCCAGCUGCCCGGAGCUCCCACCAGGCUGGGGGCCAAGCCUUCUAUCAGCCCCAGCCCAGGCUCUUAGCUCAUCUUCUGAACAGAAUUGGGGUUUCUCCUUGGUACCCCUAGACCCCCAGGGUCCCUUGCCUACUUCUCCCAGCUGGCAGCCUCUCUCCUCUUUCCCCCAGUCCCCCCCUUCCUUCAAAGCUCCCUUCUCCCCCAACUCCCCCGGUCUUCCCUGAGUGCUCCCGAGGCCCCCCACCCCACCCUUACAUAUAGGAACCAGCCUGGAAAAAUUCCUGGUUGGGCUUUGACCCAAUAGCUCCCAGGUUCCCCCCAGGGAACAAAGAGGGGGUUCUGAUACCUGAGGGAAGAGAGGGACCAACCAGUCUCAUUAUGAAUCCAGAUCAGUGCCAGGCCCAGGGCUGAUGUAGCCUCUGUGAGUGCCGGGGCUGAGAACUGGACUGUGACGGCAUCCCCCAAAUUGACCAAACGAUCCAGGGAGGUUACUCAGCCAACCCCCUGCCUCAGCACAUGGUGCUAGGUUACCUUUUUAGUAGCCCAAUUCCACACGACUGGUGUCCUGAUGCCCCUAUGAGCAGAAGAGCUGCCCACCCCCAUCCCAUCCUACCCUUUCCAUCAUUCAUGCCUCCAGUCCUGCCUCAACCACCUGGCAGGCUCCCCAGCACAGGGACGAGGUCUCUUUCCAGUUAGGAAAUGUUUAUUUGCUGGCUCAGGGCCCCCCUCCUUACCUAGGCUCCAUGCUCCAAGCUCUGCAUGGAAGAUAGAAGCGAAGCCCUUAAACAUCCUCCUUCCAACCUGGUCUACAUCUAGUGCAGCCAGAGCACAAGAUGUGUGCGGGCUUUGGCAGAGAUCCCCUCCCUCACCCCUGCAGAGCAAAGGAGCAGGCAGAGCCCAGGACAGAGUCUCCCAGCAGCACGAGCAGGGGCUCACCCUGGUCCCCUCCACGGCAUCCUUCUCACCUCAGCCUUCCCUGGCCCCUCAGGGGCCAGAAGAAGGGGUCAUAGUAAAAGACCCUGAAUUUGAGAGGAGAAUGGAGGGGUUCCAAGGUGGAGGUGGGUGUCAUUGUCAUAAUAAUCCCAGGGCUCUCCCCAAACUGACCCAAACAUCCCCCUUGGUGGUAUUCAGCAAGGUGUGUUUCAGCUACCUAUGUGAGAUUCCCUCUGUGGGCUUGGCCCAGGGAACCAAGGGAAUGAGGGGGCCGAACUGCACCCUGACCUGAGGAGCUUUUGAGCAGGCUUCAUUGGGGUGGGGAGGGGUCUCCCAGCCCCGCCCUUCAUUUCAGAGACACAGCCUGGUGGUGACUCAGAGGAGGGUCAACUCUGGAUGCUAUCCCCCAGGGCGGUGUCACCAGCUUUCCCGACAAUAUGCUGUAAUGAUGUACAAUACCCGGCCAGUGCCCACGUGAGCAUCGCAUUGAGAGCCCGACGCACCUGGGUCGCCAAAAAAGGGGACGAAGGACACAGAAUCAGGAAUGCAAAUCAACAAUCGGUAGACCACAUCGUGUCUCUCCAGCACCAUCUCCUCUGACAGACUUAAUCCCCCCAACAUGCUCCCUCCACAGGUCGCUGAAGGGCUGGGAGUCCCAGGACACACUGAACCCCCAGAGAAUCCCAAGCACACAGAAGGACCCAAGGUGGUUCCGCUGUGAUGGAAGAAAGGUCUCCUCCCUCACACCAUCCCCUGACUCCCAGACACCUAACCGGACACAGAUCGGAUCCACUGGAAGGGCAGGAAUACCAACGUGUUGGAUUGAAGGAGAAAGAAUUGGAGUGGUUCCCUUCAAUUCCCCCUCUCCAUUGGUGCCCAGAGGUCUCCUGUCUGCCUGUCACAGACAUGCAGAGACCUGGAAACAGCACCAGGAGAAGUCAAGUCUGCUGCAUGCCAUGUGACCUUGGCCAAGUCAGUCCCUUUUUGGACCUCAAGAUCCUCCUAGGUAAAAGCAUGAGGUUAUACUCCCUAAGCUUUAAGGCUCUGUUACAGCUCCAUCAAACACUCCAACUGAGAUCACUUAUAUAAAAUGUCACAUCUUCCAGGGGGCUGUGUAUUUUGAAAGGCUCCCCUUGGAGAGGACAAUGCUUAAUUCAAAGAUGGGUGAAAUCUGGGGCACAGUACCAAGUGGUGGAGAGGAGAUGUGGUUCCAGGGAACGUCUCCAAGCCCAGCAGGUAGGGAACUGCUUCCUCUCCUACCUGGGACACUAGAAUCUCUGUCCUUUUUUAAAAGACACUGGCUUGGUGAAUCCUCACUGUGAAAAGCCCCCACCAGCUACCCUGCCCCACCCCUACACCCCCAUGGCAUGUAAUGGAAAAAGCCACACAGGCUGGACUCAAUCUUGGUUCACCCAUCCAAGCCUGGAGACUUUGAACAAGUCACAUCAUCUGCCUGAGCCUUGGUUUCCUCAUCUGUGAAAUGGGAGUUGUGGUGCUGUACCUCCCAGGGUAGUAAGAAAAUAAAUGGAGACUGUGAAUAUAAGCAAAGCUCCUGGUCUAAAGCAAGUAUCACAUACAUGUUACUUCCCUUCCCUUUCUCUGUCCCUACCCCCAUGAGUGAGCAAACUCAGAGAACACAAACUCACUAUCAUCUGACUAAAGUCAAACAGAAAAAAUUAGGGAAAUGGGUUUAUCCCAUCUCCCUGUAAAGAAGAAAGGGUGCCUGGGUGGCUCAGUCAGUUAAGCAUCUGACUCUUGAUUUCAGCUCCGAUCAUGAUCUCACGGUUCAUGGGUUCAAGUCCUGCAUCGGGCUCUGUGCUGACAGUGUGGAGCCUGCUUGGGAUUCUUUCUACCACUCCUCUUGUGCUCUCUUUCUCUGUCUCAAAAAAAUAAAUAACUAAACUUAAAAAAAAAAAAAGAAGGAGGAGGAGAA